GUACAAGAAGAGAACUUCCCUUGUAACUGUGAAGUCCUCCUUUAGUCCUGAAAGGGUGAAAGGAAGAUGAGGCCUUACAGAGCCAUGUUGGAAAGCACCAGGAUAUGCUGGCCAUGGGACAUCGAUGGAAUGGGUGCGCUCUGAGAUGCUCUCCUAUCCCACACACAAGCGCAAGACCCACCCUGGAUCCGGAGACUGCCGCUCCCGCCCAGGUUGGGCCUCUCCUGGAAGGCAGGGCUGGUGCUGCUGUUAACCCAGCGGGUUGGCGGUUGCAGCAGGGUGUGCAGCCUGGCUCUGCCCGAAGUGGGUAUUUGGGGCCGUUAGAGAGUGCGCGGCCUCUUCCUCUGGUGCCGGGUGUCCCGCGGCGCCCCGUGGGAAAUUCACAGCUCCAUUUCUCCCGCGGCAUCAAAUCCCUCGUCUUGAGUUUAUGCAGCGGGCCAGCUCCUGCCUCCUCCAACUCAAUGGCCCUAGGCCGAGUGGGCGGGUGGCAUGGAAGCCGGUUGGGAGCAGGGCGGAGAAUUUGCUGUCUCUUAAAGAUGCUCUGGGAACCUGGCUCUGGAGCGCCGGAUUUUCAGGAAGAACUGAGCUCGGGUCCGCUGUCAAAGGAAAGCAGCGUUCUGCGUGGCAGUGGAAGCCUCAAAUCCUCCAGUAUAAUAAAGCGAGGCGCGCAGACCUGCCCGGCAGCUCCGGGAACUGGCGGGCCCUGGCGCGGGCUCCAUCCCUGCUCGGCCGCCGGGGCUCCAGGGGCGCAGCUACGCACCUGGGCCAGGAGCGGACCCCGAUAUGAUGAUCGGUCCCAGAUAUGUGGGGUCAGACCCCGCGGUGGGGCGUCGGUGCCCGAUAUGGGGGGUCGGUCCCGCAGUGGGGUGAUGGGUCCCGUAGUGGGGUGAUCGGGUCCCCUAUAUGGGGGUCAGUCCCGGAGUGGGGUGAUGGGUCCCG
rnacentral:lncRNA from 1 species